rnacentral:lncRNA from 1 species
AAAUUAUAUUUAGAAACAGGUCGCUAUGACAAUAUUCCUAGAGACAAUCGUAUUUGUAGAUGUUGUAAAAUGAAUAAUAUUGAAGAUGAAUAUCAUUUUGUGUUGAUUUGUCCUGCAUAUAGAACACUUAGAUGUAAUUUUUUGCCAAAGUAUUAUUGUUCAUGGCCAAAUACACGAAAGCUAAUUUUUCUGUUACAAGCUGGG